AAACCAUGAUUUGGAGACUUCUACAGAUACUCCUUGAAUCUCUCCCAAGCUUCAUAUAUUUGUUCCCCCGAAAGCUAUUUGAAAUCAAAGAUCUUAUCACGAAUUU